UGGAACUAGUUUCAUGUCCACAAAGAUUACAAAAACUAAUCAACAAGCAAACAUUGUACGACAUACAGUGAAAAUCUUGCUGCUGUCUCAUUGGAAAACAAAAUUAUCAUGUUUAACAAGCCAAUAUAUUAUAUAGGUUUCGCAGUAUUGGAUAUCAGUAAAACCAUGAUGUACGAUUACCAUUUUAAUGUAAUGAAGGCGCAUUAUGGUGAUAAUAUCAAAUUAUCAACCUCAUGUAUACAGAUACAGAUUCACUGAUAUAUCACAUUAAGACUGACGAUUUUUACAAAGAUUUUAAGUGCAAUUCAAACUUACUUGACCGGAUGGAUACUUCAGAUUUGCCGAUAGACCAUCCAUGCUACAUUGCCGAACGAAAGAAAAUUCCAGG